UUGGCGUCUACAACUGGUAAUUUUUUU
rnacentral:piRNA from 1 species